rnacentral:rRNA from 1 species
UACGUAGGGUGCAAGCGUUGUCCGGAAUUAUUGGGCGUAAAGAGCUCGUAGGCGGUCUGUCGCGUCUGCUGUGAAAACUCAGGGCUUAACCCUGAGCCUGCUUCCGAUACGGGCAGACUAGAGGUAUGCAGGGGAGAACGGAAUUCCUGGUGUAGCGGUGAAAUGCGCAGAUAUCAGGAGGAACACCGGUGGCGAAGGCAGCACUCUGGGACGUGACUGACGCUGAGACGCGAAAGCGUGGGGAGCAAACAGG